AUAUAUUAAUCCUUGCUGGAUCCAAGGGUUCAAAGAGUCUUGAUUAAAUUCUAACCCUUUACUGGAUCCAGGAUUUUAGGGGAGUCUAGCACUCCCAAACUCACAACAUUAUUGUAAAUGGCAUUUGCAAGGCUUCAUCAGUAGUAAUGCAUUUAAUAUGACCGUCCGUUGAAACUGCUGAUUUUCUUAAUGGGCAUAAAACAUUGUAAAAAAGAGAGUUUACUGAAUUGCCUUUUCUUCCUUCAAUAUUGCACAUUCAUCGUUAUGAAGGGUAUUAAACUAAUUUAUCUUCCCAUUUCUAGCAUUGAGAACAUUAAUUCUGUUUCACUCUGCUGGAGCUUGGAAUUGAGAGACCUCAUUAAUGGCACUGAGGGGUGUUCUGAGGUCACAGAUAUUAUUUGGGUCCAAAGUUUAUUUAGUGUUUGCAUCCCCCAAACAGAUGUGGCAGAGAUUGCUGUAGUGUCGCUGCCUCUGGAAGAGAAAUGUUCUACAUCUCUUGUGGGUUCAGAGUACUCACCCACGGUAUUGCUCCCUGUCUUUGUGUAGGAUUCCAUUGCUAUAUCCUUGCCUGCCAGCCUUUGUAGAAGGCAGGUGUUGGGUAUUAGAAAGUUGUCCUCUCCUAGAAAGACAACAACCUCCCCCCCCCCAAAAGUUUUGCAAAUUCAUUCAUUCAUUCUUGCAUACAACACCUGCACAGUUAUUAGAAAAGUUUCAACAGUUUAGGAACAUGUCCUAAGAAGUUUCAUUUUAUUUUCAAACUUUUUAUUCGUGGUUUAAUAAUGGGAAUCAUUUAGAUACAGAAAAAAGAGAAUGGGAGGGGGGAAGCUGCCCUGCUGAUUGUUUAAUUUAACUGAGUAUGAGAUCUUAUACUUGCAUUGAAAAGCCCUUUCCUAUUAUUGAGUAGCAUUGGGAAGGAAAUAAGUAGGGGAUUAAAGAUUUCAUUUUGCAUUGUCUGUCAUUCUGAGCAAUUUAUGAGCUCUGCUUUACAGAUUAAGUCGAUUCCUAACUAAAGUUUAAGGAUAGGAGAAUUUCCCUCCCCCCUUUUAUUGCAAAUGGCAAUGCUUUGCUUGGGAAAUGAUUUCCUGCAUUCAUUUUUUUAAAAAAUCACCUUAAAAGUGGU